ACAAAUUAUUACAAUAUAUUCCAAUAUUCCAAGUUGACGGGCUUAAUUUCUGAUUGGUACAUAAUCAAGUUGAUGGUAUCUUCUUUUUAUUUAUUUAUUUAUUUAUUUAUUAUUUUGUGCUUUAUAUGGGUACCCUUGUAAGAGUGGAAUAGAAGGCUUGCAUGGACUUAAGAGGAACGGUUCCUCAAUCCUCACCAAAACCAAAAUAUAAGGAACGGUACUUUUUACUCCUUUAGCGGUGUGAAUCUGUUGCCAAGAGGCUGAUGCAGAGCUUGUUUGAAGCUUCAACUUCGUUUCUUCUUCUUUAUUCUGAGUGUUAUGCAUGAUUCUAUUGCACUUCACUUUGAAUAUUUGAUGUUCUGGUAAAUUGGAUUUAGAUGGUCAUCAUGGUCUAAGGUAUGGAAUGCGGGGCAAGUUAUCUCAAAUGGCUUUUCUCUUGGCCUUGUUUUUGUUAAUCAAGAUAUCAUUAGCAGAGUAACUCUCGUGUUCUGAAGACCAGGUUUUUCAGACCAAAGAAGAUUGCAGAGAAGGUUUAUUCAUGUUGUUGAUGCUUGUUUUAUAGGUGAAAGUUAGAAGGACACAAUCCAAUUUGAAGUGUAGCAACAUCUUGGAAUAAGCCUAGUUUAUGUAGGUGUUUGUUUAUUUUUGUUGAUCUUAUGAAUGGUUUAUCCUAUUUUGGUGACAGUGGUUAAUCCUAUUGUUGGUUUAGAUUUGAGGAAGGGGAGGAAUCUUAAUCAACUACCAAAGUCUGUAUGUAGCAACAUGUUGAUGCAUUGUGCCAUGACACGCCGUGUCUCUAGUGAAAGCUUGAGUGGUUAGAGGAAUUAAUCUUAUACAAUUGUAUAUGAAUUGCUAAAAUUAUUUCAACUUUUUAUUGUAUGGUUAAGAUUUUACUCACCCUCUUGGGUCUAACCUAAUACACAUUCUAUUAGAGUGGAAGACAUAUAAUUGCAAAACUUAAACUUGGAAUCAUCAGCAGAGAUUAAUUGCCCAUAUAUUUAUUUUAUCAAGACCACUUGUAUCAACCAACUUGUGCUCUUUUACAAAUUUGAUUUCAUUUAAACUACUUUAUUCUUUUAUUUUAUUUAAACCAUGAUAGUUUAUGUCUAUAAUAAUAUGCUUUCUUUCCCAGAGAUUUAUGAAGGUUUUUUUUGAAGAGAUUCUACUUCUCUCUUCACAUAUGGCAUACAGAACAUUUUUUUUUUGGGGUGGGGAAGUGUAUCAAACCCACAUGGUAAGAUCUUGCUGAUUUUGAGAUGUACAAUGAUCCUAAGGCCCAGUUAGUAACAGGCCGUUACUAGGCCCUUCCGAAAUUAAAUCUUAAUGGAUUUUAUAUUUUCGUAUCAACUGAAUGAAUGGGCUGGGCCAAGCUGGGAUGGACCGGGCCUGAGCUGGUUCAAUCUAUCAACUGAUUUCACACAUGUUCACUAUGAUAUGGACUUCUUAGUUCAAACCCAAAGAAACAUUUUCUAUUACACAACCAGGCCCAUACAACAUAACUGAAGUAGGUAUGGAUGUGUAAAAACUAAAAACACCGAACCAAAUCAAACCAUAAAAACUGAAUUAUUUGAGAAAAAAACUCAAACCGUACCAUUUCUAUAAAAACAAGUUAGGUUGGAACUGAACCUUUUGAUUCGAUUCAAUCAUGCAUAUAGCGAGAAAAAAUCAAACUGAACUAGAUCAUAAAAGACUGAACCAUUUAAGGAAAAACUGAAUCAAACCAUUCUUAUAAAAUAAGUUUAGUUCAGUUCAGUUUUGUCUAGUGUUUUAAUCAAACCAUGUCUAACGGUAGGUGUAUGUGUGUGCCUCUGAGUAAAUUUGUCUCUAUUGUUUAGGAUAAGGUCUUAAAUUGUAGUUUCAUUGCUCUUCUCGUUAGCUAAAUUGCUGGAAAUUAGAGAGGUAACUGCUACGUGCUUGAGAUUAGUGUUGAAUUGUUUUCAUCCUUUACGUAACUUACACCGUCCUUUCUCUUUGAUCAUAAGCAAACAGAAACAUUAAAGUGACAUGUGAAGUCAUCAUAUUUCAUCAUUGUGCCCGUUGUCUUGAUUUCAUUGGCCAUAAGUAUCUAUCAGUACCAUUUCAAAAAGACCAAUUUCUUAUUUCUAUAACAAUUAUUCCAAGCUUGUUUGUAGUACUGAGUGUCGUUCUAACGUGUCAAUAUUCAGAUGGUGCAGAAUUGAAGACGUGACCCCAGCAGGUUUGUCCUUAGUUAUAAAUGCUGAUCAGGUUCUUCUCUAUUUAACACAUGCUCUUAAGUGUCUUCUUGUUCAUUAGAUGAGAUGCAUUAUCUAUGAACAAUGAUGUUUAUUUUAAACCUUAUAUGAUAGACAAGUGGAAUGAUGAUGAUGAUCUAUCAAUUAAUAAUGUUUUUUUUAAACUCUGUGAUAGAAGAAAGACAUAAUCUAUCAAUAUAUAAUAAUGUCUACAUUAAAACGGUAUUAUAGAAGAGUGGCAUUGGACUGAGUCACUUCCUAGAAAUGGAAUUGAUUUUAUAAAAUUUUGUAGAAAUUCAUGAAAGGCACAUUACAUGGUUUACGUGUCCUUACAACAUGAAUGAUGUUGUACAAAAGCAGAACAAAACUUUAUUGGUUGUAAUGUGCACCACACACCCAUCCAUCACUUUGCAUAAUAUCUGCUCAAUUAUUCAAUUGAAGGUUUCACAGAAAGUUUGUGAGAUGAAUUUGAAUCACACACUGCCUGUUACCUUAUCAGUUCGUAGAUUCAACUGAGGCAAUCAUCCACAAACGUCAUGCUCCUUAUCAUCUUUUUUAAUCACGGGUGAUGCUCGAGUCAUUAGGAAAAAAAAUGUGUGGACACAAUGGCAUGUUAGGAGCAUUAGGAAAACGAGGGAGGAGGAAAAAAAAGGUUUGAAAGAGAAAGUAUAAGUUUUUUCUUUUUUCUUUUCUUUUUUUUAACUUUUACUUUUAGAAAUAUUUUUUUUUCUCUAACCAAAAAUGAGAAAAGAAAGAGAAAUAUAGAUGUGAUACAUUAUAUGAUGUGAGAAAAUAGAAAGAUAGAAAAUAUAUAAUUAGGGUUAAUUGAGAUGUAUGUCAAUAUACCACCAUUUUUCCUUUGUA